rnacentral:rRNA from 1 species
GACGAACGCUGGCGGCGUGCUUAACACAUGCAAGUCGAACGGAAAGGCCCUGCUUUUGUGGGGUUCUCGAGUGGCGAACGGGUGAGUAACACGUGUGUAACCUGCCCUUGACUUUGGGAUAACUUCAGGAAACUGGGGCUAAUACCUGAUAGGAUCUCCUGCUGCAUGGUGGGGGUUGGAAAGUUUCGGCGGUUGGGGAUGGACUCGCGGCUUAUCAGCUUGUUGGUGGGGUAGUGGCUUACCAAGGCUUUGACGGGUAGCCGGCCUGAGAGGGUGACCGGCCACAUUGGGACUGAGAUACGGCACAGACUCCUACGGGAGGCAGCAGUGGGGAAUAUUGCACAAUGGGCGGAAGCCUGAUGCAGAAACGCCGCGUGCGGGAUGACGGCCUUCGGGUUGUAAACCGCUUUAGCCUGUGACGAAGAGUGAGUGACGGUAAUGGGUAAAGAAGCACCGGCUAACUACGUG